rfam:Rattus norvegicus chromosome 6, whole genome shotgun sequence.
GGGGAUUUAGCUCAGUGGUAGAGCGCUUGCUUAGGAAGCACCAGGCCCUGGGUUCAGUCCCCAGCUCCG